rnacentral:lncRNA from 1 species
UUAGAAAGUUAUUUGACAAUGUUUAUUAAAGCUGAACAUACACAAACCCAAUCUACCAGAAAUUCCACUCUAAAGUACAAACCCCAUAGAAACAUACAUACACAUACAUAUAUGCAUCAAAACAUAUGUACAUAACAGUACUACAUAUAACAGUGAAAACUGGAAAUGAUACCAACACCCAUCAACAGGGUAAUGAAUUCAUAAGUUGUGUUAUAUUCAUAGAAUAGAACACUGUACAGAAAUGAGGAUUAACAAACUGUAUGCAGCAACACGUAUGAAUCUCAGAAUUACAGCGCUGAGCAAAAGAAGUCAAAGAUGAGAAUACAUUGUAUGAUUCCAUUUAUAUAGGGUUAAGAAGAAGCAAAACUGAACUUUGCUGUUACAAAUCAGGAUUGUGCUUGCUGUAGAUGUGAGUAGUAACUGGAGGGAGAAAAAGGGCCUGUGGAAACUGUGGUCAUGUUCUAUGUCUUUGUUUAGAGGAUGUGUUCUUGCUAUAUCCUGAAUGUGUCCCUCCAAAAUGUGUGUGUUGGAAACUUCAUCCCCAAUGCCACCGUGUUGGGAGGUGGGACCUAACUGGAGGUGUUUAGGUCAUGAAGGCUUAUGAAUGAAUUAAUGACGCUAUAAAAAGGGCUCGUGGGCGUGGGUUCACCCCCUUCCACCAUCCGCUGUGUGAGGAUGCAGCAAGAAGGUUCUCAUCAGAUUCUGAUGCCUUGAUCUUGGACUUCCCAGCCUCCAGAACUGUGAAAAGUAAAUCUCUCUUCUUUGUAAACGACCCAGUCUCAGGUGUUCUGUU